rnacentral:rRNA from 1 species
GAUAAACGCUGGCGGCGCACAUAAGACAUGCAAGUUGAACGGACUUAACCGAAAUAUUUAUAUUUUGAAGCGGUUAGUGGCGGACAGGUGAGUAACGCGUAAGGAACCUGCCUAUUAGAGGGGAAUAACAGUGAGAAAUAACUGCUAAUACUGCACAUGCCAUAGAUAUCACAUGAUAACAGUGGGAAAGGAGCAAUCCGCUAAUAGAUGGUGUUGCGUCUGAUUAGAUAGUUGGUGGGGUAACGGCGUACCAAGUCGACGAGCAGUAGCCGGACUGCGAGGAUGAACGGCCACAUUGGGACUGAGAUACGGCCCAGACUCCUACGGGAGGCAGCAGGCGGGAAUAUUGCGCGAUGGAGGAAACUCUGACGCAGGGACGCCGCGUAUAGGAAGAAGGUUUUCGGAUUGGAAACUAUUGUCGUUAGGGAAGAGAAAGGACGGUACCUAAAGAAGAAGCUCCGGCUAACUACGUG